rnacentral:tRNA from 1 species
GGGGCGGUAGCUCAGCUGGGAGAGCACCUGGUUUGCAACCAGGGGGUCGGGGGUUCGAGUCCCCUCCGCUCCA